AUUGAACGCUGGCGGCAUGCCUUACACAUGCAAGUCGAACGGCAGCACGGGGGCAACCCUGGUGGCGAGUGGCGAACGGGUGAGUAAUACAUCGGAACGUACCUUAUCGUGGGGGAUAACGCAGCGAAAGCUGUGCUAAUACCGCAUACGCCCUGAGGGGGAAAGCGGGGGAUCGAAAGACCUCGCGCGAUUAGAGCGGCCGAUGCCUGAUUAGCUUGUUGGUGGGGUAAAAGGCCCACCAAGGCGACGAUCAGUAGCUGGUCUGAGAGGACGAUCAGCCACACUGGGACUGAGACACGGCCCAGACUCCUACGGGAGGCAGCAGUGGGGAAUUUUGGACAAUGGGGGGAAACCCUGAUCCAGCAAUGCCGCGUGGGUGAAGAAGGCCUGCGGGUUGUAAAGCCCUUUAAGCGGGAGGAAAGCCGGGGUGUGAAUAGCGCCUCGGGGUGACGUUACCCGCAGAAUAAGCACCGGCUAACUCCGUG
rnacentral:rRNA from 1 species